rnacentral:rRNA from 1 species
UACGUAGGGUGCAAGCGUUUGUCCGGAAUUAUUGGGCGUAAAGAGCUCGUAGGCGGUCUGUCGCGUCUGCUGUGAAAACUCGGGGCUUAACCCCGGGCCUGCAGUGGGUACGGGCAGACUAGAGUGCGGUAGGGGAGACUGGAAUUCCUGGUGUAGCGGUGAAAUGCGCAGAUAUCAGGAGGAACACCGAUGGCGAAGGCAGGUCUCUGGGCCACUACUGACGCUGAGAAGCGAAAGCAUGGGGAGCGAACAGG